CGCGACUCCUCUCCCGUUCCCCAUCGCGCCCCCGCCCAAGCGCCGCGCCGCCGGAACCCCAGGCGCGCCCUCCUCCGGACGGCGCUCGCCCUCCUCCCCCGUCCCCGGCCGUCUCUCUCUCUCCGUGUCGUCCGAGGCGGCGCAUCUACCGGGGAUCCAGCGAUGGUGAGUUCGUUCGUCCUUCUGUACUUGUGCUCUCCCUCCUCCUACACGCUCGCCUCUCUAGCUAGCAACGGCUCGUGGCCAGGAUUUGAGCCGGCGGGGCGGCUGGAUCCGUUGGAGCCGGACACAGGGGCUUGGGUGGAGUGAGUGGCCGGUGAUUAAGGACUAGGCGGCGGCUAUGCACAUGUGGCUGGUGCAUGCAUGAGCAAGAGAAAUGGAUGUCUGCGCAUGUGGCUGGUGCAUGCAUGAGCAAGUCAGCAAGAGUAGUCUGCCCUCCUUCUCUUCAUAGGAAAUUUCUUGCUGUUCCAGAUUCUUGCAUGCUAAUUUGUUGGCAGAACUUCUGAUUACGUAAUAGCUAGAUUUUGUAUUAUUUUUUGUUAACAGAACGGGCGGUGAUGGUUAAAAGAAAACCAUCGAUGCAUUUUACAUAAGAAAGAGAGUUAUGUGAAGAACAUUAACUGAAUCAGAACACCCUGUUCAGCCUCCGCUUUUGUUGUAGAUGUUCUUGUGCAAAUUUAGAGCAUUAAGAAACGAAGAGCUGAUCUAUAUAGUGUGAUCAACUCAAUACUUCAUCAUUAAAUAAUAUUUUGGUACAAUUUCAUUUUCUGGAUGCGCUACUGAAUCUUCUCUUCGAGCAGAGCACCCGCGAUGGACGGAGACGGCUUCGAUAUGUGGGGUUCGCAGCCGUAUUGUAGUACAAAGCAAACUAGAAUUAUUGUUGCUUGUAUGGCUCUUCAUAAUUUCAUUCGAGAGAGCAGAAUUCCGAACCCUUGGUUUGUAAAUAUCAUUUGUUUGUGUCAAUUGUGAGUGGGAGGAGGCCACAUAAGAGCUGGCCACACCAAAUCCGGAAGGAAAUAGGGUCCUGUCACACCCUAGCUAGUCAUGCAUUAGAGUGUUGCAUCAUGUUUAUUCUUUCAUCAGAAACUUGAAAUGGGGAUGACAGAACCCCCAGUCCCCUCUGAAACCAAUUAGGGUUACUAAAAUAAUUUUUCAAUGAACCUGAAAUGCCCUUCUAAAAUGUCCAUCAUUUUAGCCUUGGUUCAGAACCUCUGACAAAAGUGGUGCACAUUUUUCUAGGCCAUCAUAGGGUCUUUGAAUUAAAUCAUAGAUAUUUGAAUUUGGGCAUUUGAAAUAAUAUAAAAUAUUUAAAUGCUCAAAUAUCUCCAAACUGAAAUGUUUCAUGUUGGAAAUAUUCCAACUAUGGACCAGGAGUAGUUUGGUGAUUUUUGGAGUUGCCUAGGUAUUUUAUUUAACUCAACAAAGUUGCAGAAUUAUUAAAUAAAACAGAAAAUAGAAAAAAAAGGGAAAACCCUACCUGGCGCCACCGCAGCCCACUAGCCAGCCCACCUGCCGGCCCAGCCCAGCACCGCUCCAGCGAGCUGCUUCGGCCAGGCAGGCAGGCAGGUGCCCGACGGCGACCGCGGCGUGCGCCACGCACCUGCUCGCCGUCUCGCCGCUCCCCUCGCCAGGUGACGACGUGGAUCGUCCUCCCUCUCUCCCCCGAACCCCCCAGACACCCCCUCUCCUCUCCAGCUCCUCCCCCUCGCACGCCCCAGCCAUGGCCGACGCCACCAUCGCCGCACCACCGUCGUAGCCGUGCUCCCCGUCGUCUCCACGCCGUCUCACCGUGUCCAGGAGCUUCGCCGCUGUCCACUUCAUCGAGCAGCCGAGCCCCGAGCGCUCGCAACGCCCGAGACCACCGCACCGACCUCGCCCGAGCUCACCGUCGCCGGAGAUCCCCUUCAACGCCGACGUCGCUCCGGUCCAUCUCCGACCGCACCAAGGACUCCGUCGCACUCACUGUGAGCUUAGCCAUCUUCCCCUCCCUUCCGUUCUUGCUCCCGAGCCGUGUAGCAACCUCCCGGAGCUCAACCGCACCCACCGCCGUGGACCUCGUCGCCGACGUGCUCCCGGUCAUCCUCCGGCCACAAGAUGGUGUCCAUCUUGCUCACCGCGUUCCACAGCACCUAGCUAGCCACUCCACGAGCCUCACCGAACCCUCUAGCACCAAGUUCACCUCCGACCGAACCUCGGUGGCCGCCAAAGUCGUCGCCGGCGUCGACUCCGGCCACCCCGACCCCAACGGACUCCGCCAAGAGCCACGGGUCGUCCUCAGCUUCACUCCGGUGGUCGCCACGUUCCAUUUGGUGGCCGAAACGACCAAAACCACUAUCGCCGCCGCACUGUUGGUCGCCGCCGGCCAGAACUCCGGCGAGCUGACGUGGCCUAGUUGAUUAACCACUAAUCCAUCACCUACUGACGCUGACAAGUGGGCCCCAGGGGUUAGUCAAAGCUAACCAGCCCGGGGUCAACGCGGGAUUAGCACCUGGUCACUGACGUGUGGACUCCACACGUCAGGUUUGACCCGAGCCAGCCCUGUUGACCUGCUGAUGUCACUGUGAUGUCAGGCUGACGCAGUAAAUGAUAUUUCUGGAUUUAAUUAAAUCAGGAAAUUCCAGAAUAUUAUUUAAACUUCAAAAAUUCAUAACUCUUAUUCUGUAACUCCAAAUUGGACAAAUAAUAUAUGAAAAAUGAUCAGAAAAAUCCAAUCUAUCCAUCUGUACUAUUUUCAUGCAUGAUCAAACAAGUUAACUUGAUGUUUCAAUCAGAACAAGAAAAGGCACUUUAAAAGGCCAUAUUUGAAUUGGAAUUUGAAUCUUUGAUUCAAAUUUUCUCAAACACAUCUGGUUUUAGUUGCAUUAGCCCAACACACUCAUAUUGCCAUGUUUCAUGCAUGCAUCAUAUUGUUGCACAUUGUUUGGUAAUGCCUGUGUAUCGUUAUCCUUUGCGACAGGAUCUAUUCCCGAGGAGUACCGUGAUUACCCUAACGAGGAAUCGUAUCCGUGCAACGAACCAUCAGGCAAGCAACCAACCAUUUGAUCAUAU
rnacentral:lncRNA from 1 species